CUUUGCCCACUUAAUAUCAUCAUUCACAAAUGAAUAUUCAUUCAUUUCAAGCCAAAAUUUGCAGCAACAAAGGAUCAAAUCCGUAACCCUUCUUCUCAAUUCUUCUCCAAAAUUCAAAUGAUCACAACUUCUUCGUUUCUCAACGAAAUUUAGCGAUUCUUGCGGCCACGGAACGAGGAAACGAUUAUCUACAGAUCUGUGGGUUGAAUUUGAGGUGUUUACAAGCUUCCAUGGAAGGUUUUUGAUGAUGAAUUUGGGCAUGGAACCUUCGGCCAAGAGACAAUCAUCAAGACUCGAAGGAGCGACUAUCGAUAAGGCUCGAGGCAAACGGAUCGAGAUAUUGUCAAGCUUAUUUGAAGAAUUUGGAUAGCAAGUGGGAUAGUAUGAUAUGAUUUGGAAAGUCAAGUUUCCGAAGUUUUAAUUCUCGGAAGUUAUUUGCACAAGAAGUGAAAGAAGGUUUUCAUUCUAGCGGUCCGCAGUAGUCUAGAUGUUUUUGUCUAGGUAUUUGUAUUGCGCAUUUUAACUCUGAUGCUUUUGUAAAAUGGGGUCACAUGUAUUUUGAUAUAUGAAACAUGAUUUGAUUUGCGAAAAA